UAGAUUGAUGUAAUUCCGUCAGAGUUUGA
rnacentral:sRNA from 1 species